UGAAAUGCAAGAAUGGCUGACUCUAUAAAUAGAUUCAAAAUCAGAAGAUCAAGCAUCGGUGAAAUCUUGCAGUAUAGAGUCUUAAGCAAAUCCUUCUUUCUUUCAAGCACUCUUUGUAUUCAACUACUUUUGUAUCAUUCUCCAAAUAUUUUAAUAAGAAGGUCAAAGUUUACGAGGAUUCUACAAUCAACAGCUUCCGUUAUCAAAAGCAAC
rnacentral:lncRNA from 1 species